UACGAGGGGGGCUAGCGUUGUUCGGAAUCACUGGGCGUAAAGCGCACGUAGGCGGAUCGUUAAGUCGGGGGUGAAAUCCCGAGGCUCAACCUCGGAACUGCCUUCGAUACUGGCGAUCUUUGAGUCCGGGAGAGGUGAGUGGAACUCCGAGUGUAGAGGUGAAAUUCGUAGAUAUUCGGAAGAACACCAGUGGCGAAGGCGGCUCACUGGCCCGUUACCGACGCUCAGGCGCGACAGCGUGGGGAGCAAACAGG
rnacentral:rRNA from 1 species